UACGAAGGGGGCUAGCGUUGCUCGGAUUGACUGGGCGUAAAGGGCGUGUAGGCGGUCUGUUAAGUCUGGCGCGAAAGCUCUCGGCUAAACCGGGAGAGGUCGUUGGAUACUGGCAGACUAGAGGACGGUAGAGGCGUGUGGAAUUCCUGGUGUAGCGGUGAAAUGCGCAGAUAUCAGGAAGAACACCCGUGGCUAAGGCGGCUCUCUAGUACGGUACUGACGCUGAGACGCGAAAGCGUGGGGAGCGAACAGG
rnacentral:rRNA from 1 species